AGAAAAAGAGAGAGAAAGGAGAAAGGGAAGAAGUUAGGGUUUUGGGAGAGAGGAAAAGCAGAGAUGAUAAUCGUCGUUUGAAGAUCGAAACUAAGGCAAGAAACUUCGAAGUAAUACUUCUCUCGGUGCUAGAAAAGGAGUUUGGGUGGUGGAUUCACUCAUUCCGGCAAGAAAAUCCGAGAACGGACAAAGUAAGGUUCCGAACUUCUUGUUUCGAUUUUAUCUAGAUCUGAGGAGUUUCAUGAGCAUUAGAUCUGGAGUUUUUGAGGUAUGUGACUAAAGUAAGAUUCUCACAUGUUUCUUGAAGUUCUUGGACGAGAAUCGGACGAAAAUCAGAGUUUAGUCGGACUUCGGGUAAACGAUCGAAAAUAGAAAAUGAGGAGAGAGAGGAGGCCUCUCCGCCACGCGUCGGCCGGCGUACGGAGGAGCGCGGCAGGACCUAUGAGCGACACGUGGCGACCGCGGGAUGGAGAGUCAUGUCCCACUAGUUAGACGACACGCGUCAAGGCGCGGAUUCGAGCCAACCCGAGUCCGAUCCGGCGCUCCUCACGCGACCCGGGAACCACGCAAACCGAACUGAACCGGCCGCUGGCCCGCGGCUGCGCGGGAAUUCACGCGUGGACACGCGCGCGUAGAAUCCGCGCGUAGUACACCCUCCAGAGCGCGUGAGACCUAUCAAGGAAAUUCCAGAAUUUUUGGAACCUUUUCCGGCAAAUAAUUCGAGCUUGGGAAGGCACGCGUCAACCAAGUACCAGUCGAUACGGGGAGGUGCUCGAGAGCUGUGCAGUCACAGAGGGGUGUCGUUCCGGAGCGUCAGUCCCUUGUCAGUCUUUUAGAGUCCUUUGUCCGUUUUCAUAUUUAGAGUCUUUUGUAUUUCGUUUUUGC